ACGGAGGGCGCAAGCGUUGUUCGGAAUUACUGGGCGUAAAGCGCGGGCAGGUGGUUCGUUAAGUCGUCUGUGAAAACCCGGGGCUCAACCCCGUGGAAUGCAGGCGAUACUGGCGAGCUAGAGAUCGGUAGAGGCUAGCGGAAUUCCUGGUGUAGCGGUGGAAUGCGUAGAUAUCAGGAAGAACACCAGUGGCGAAGGCGGCUAGCUGGGCCGAGUCUGACACUCAUCCGCGAAAGCGUGGGGAGCAAACAGG
rnacentral:rRNA from 1 species